AAUGAACGCUGGCGGCGUGCCUAACACAUGCAAGUCGGAUGUGCCCGCAAGGGUGCAUGGCAGACGGGUGAGUAACGCGUGGGGAAUCUACCUCUUUGUGGGGAAUAACGCUCCGAAAGGAGUGGUAAUACCGCAUGAGACCAAUGGCUGGAAUGUUGUUGGUGAAACCUGGGGACCGCAAGGCCUGGGGCAAGGAGAGGAUCCUGCGUCUGAUUAGCUAGUUGGCGGGGUAACGGCCCACCAAGGCGACGAUCAGUAGCCGGCCUGAGAGGGUGAUCGGCCACACUGGAACUGAGACACGGUCCAGACUCCUACGGGAGGCAGCAGUGGGGAAUUUUGCGCAAUGGGCGAAAGCCUGACGCAGCAACGCCGCGUGGGUGAUGAAGGUCUUCGGAUCGUAAAACCCUGUCGUCGGGGACGAAGGUAAUUCGGUUAACAACUGAGUUGCUUGACGGUACCCGGAGAGGAAGCCCCGGCUAACUCUGUGCCAGCAGCCGCGGUAAU
rnacentral:rRNA from 1 species